rnacentral:lncRNA from 1 species
AUCGGAACAGAACUCGAUGUGACUCAGUCGACACUCAGUCAGUGACGAGGCAAGAUGUUUCUGAAUUUACGAAUGAAAGCCUUUUUGCUUGUGGUUUUCCUGGUGGUUUCUGCUCACUGCAUAUCGCCGGCGUUGGAUGAUGUAAUACAAAAUGAGUUCAGUGAGGAACCAUGCGAUAAACGUUAAACGGAAUCCAACAUAGAUCCGUGCAGAAGCGCUCCGAUUUUUCUCCUGAAGAUGAAAUAAAGUAUUAGAUCAAGCCA